CAGUAGCCGCGGUAAUACGGAGGAUCCAAGCGUUAUCCGGAAUCAUUGGGUUUAAAGGGUCCGUAGGCGGUCUUGUAAGUCAGUGGUGAAAGCCCAUCGCUCAACGGUGGAACGGCCAUUGAUACUGCAGGACUUGAAUUAUUGGGAAGUAACUAGAAUAUGUAGUGUAGCGGUGAAAUGCUUAGAGAUUACAUGGAAUACCAAUUGCGAAGGCAGGUUACUACCAAUUGAUUGACGCUGAUGGACGAAAGCGUGGGUAGCGAACAGGAUUAGAGACCCCUGUAGUCCCUGUCUCUUAUAU
rnacentral:rRNA from 1 species